rnacentral:rRNA from 1 species
UGAGAGGGUGACCGGCCACACUGGGACUGAGACACGGCCCAGACUCCUACGGGAGGCAGCAGUAGGGAAUUUUCGGCAAUGGGGGAAACCCUGACCGAGCAACGCCGCGUGAAGGAAGAAGUAAUUCGUUAUGUAAACUUCUGUCAUAGAGGAAGAACGGUGGAUAUAGGGAAUGAUAUCCAAGUGACGGUACUCUAUAA